CCAAUGUAAUUAUUUAUUUACUGGUGUGAUCCCUCUGGAAGCUGAAAAUCUUUGUAGUAAACACAGCUACUCCAGUGAUCUCCACUACUCCCGGGUCCUGUGUUGAGCAGCUGCCUUGCUACAUUGUGAAUACAAGAGGUCACCAUAUCGGCAUGGGUGCCAUUAAUUUUCUCAAUGAAUGCACAGCAUUCUCUGAUUGGAAGAGGUGGAGAGCGUGACAUCACUGCCCCAUCUCUAAACCUCGUCCAAUCAGAGAAUGGUUCUUUAAUUUAGUUUAUGAGGCACAUAAUUCGUUUUAUGCAAUGUUUCCUUUACUAAUUUGUUCCUGGUGUCUAAAGUUACGUAUGCAGAACCUAUGAAAAGAUGCAAGUGUUUCUCCUGAGAGUUGUCCUCACCUCAUGGUGUCUGAAUUUCUGUGCAUCAGAAGUCACUGAUGUGGUCCAGAGCCCACUGUACGAGUUGGCCAAAAUUGGUGAAAGCGUGUCAGUGAAAUGUUCUGAUGACAGGUCCAACUACCUGACCAAAUACUGGUACCGCCAGAAAGACGGAGCUAUAGUCCUGAUGGGAUAUUCAUAUAAUGCUGAGGAAGCUCAGAUGGAGAAGGAUUUUCCCAAAGAUAAAAUGAUAAUAAAAGCUGAUACACCUCUCAGAAGCACCUUGAACAUCAGUAAAGUAUCUGUAGAUGACAGCGCGAUCUACUUCUGUGCCAGUAGCAUCCACAGUGGCACAAGGAUAGCGCCAGGCCCUGCAGGAAUUAAUCAGAGACUUUCGAGUAUUAAAGAACGUUAUACCAAAAACAGCUGUCAUUGCUUCCUGAAAGUUACAAACCCACAAAUCCACAUCAGAAACAUUUUACUACACUGAGUUUGUUUCUUGUUUUAAUUUCUGGUAGAAAAUAAUAUCCAGUUAUGAACACACUUAUUUUACAAAUGCUAGGGAGGUGUGUGGCUUACUCUGACACGCCUCUUGUGCAAUCUGGUGUUGGAUGUGGUUCACAUAUAGGCAAGAGAAAAAAAAAUAUUCUGUAGACAUUUCUGAGCCAUGGACAUGACGACAAUUUUAUUGCAGUUCCUGGUUCCC